rnacentral:rRNA from 1 species
AUACGUAGGGGGCGAGCGUUGUCCGGAAUGAUUGGGCGUAAAGGGCGCGUAGGCGGCUUUGCAAGUCAGUAGUGGAAGUCCAUUUUUCAAGGAUGGAAGUGCUACAGAAACUGCGGAGCUUGAGUGCAGGAGCGGUUAUCGGAAUUCCCGGUGUAGCGGUGAAAUGCGUAGAGAUCGGGAGGAACACCAGUGGCGAAGGCGGGUAACUGGACUGCAACUGACGCUGAGGCGCGAAAGUGUGGGGAGCAAACAGGAUUAGAUACCCUGGUAGUCCACACUGUAAACGAUGAAUGCUAGGUGUAGGAGGUAUCGACCCCUUCUGUGCCGCAGUAAACACAGUAAGCAUUCCGCCUGGGGAGUACGGUCGCAAGAUUAAAACUCAAAGGAAUUGACGGGG